rnacentral:rRNA from 1 species
GAUGAACGCUGGCGGCGUGCCUAAUACAUGCAAGUCGAGCGAACAGACGAGGAGCUUGCUCCUCUGACGUUAGCGGCGGACGGGUGAGUAACACGUGGAUAACCUACCUAUAAGACUGGGAUAACUUCGGGAAACCGGAGCUAAUACCGGAUAAUAUAUUGAACCGCAUGGUUCAAUAGUGAAAGACGGUUUUGCUGUCACUUAUAGAUGGAUCCGCGCCGCAUUAGCUAGUUGGUAAGGUAACGGCUUACCAAGGCAACGAUGCGUAGCCGACCUGAGAGGGUGAUCGGCCACACUGGAACUGAGACACGCUCCAGCCUCCUACGGGAGGCAGCAGUAGGGAAUCUUCCGCAAUGGGCGAAAGCCUGACGGAGCCACGCCGCGUGAGUGAUGAAGGUCUUCGGAUCGUAAAACUCUGUUAUUAGGGAAGAACAAAUGUGUAAGUAACUAUGCACGUCUUGACGGUACCUAAUCAGAAAGCCACGGCUAACUACGU